rnacentral:rRNA from 1 species
AACGAACGCUGGCGGCGUGCCUAACACAUGCAAGUCGAACGGGAAAACCCGCAAGGGCGAGUACAGUGGCGCACGGGUGCGUAACACGUGGGUAAUCUGCCCAGAAGCCCGGAAUAACUCCCCGAAAGGGGUGCUAAUGCCGGAUGAGACCACGGGGACCUCGGUUCCUGGGGGAAAAGGUGGCCUCUGUAUACAAGCUAUCACUUCUGGAUGAGCCCGCGGCCCAUCAGCUAGUUGGCGGGGUAAUGGCCCACCAAGGCUACGACGGGUAGCUGGUCUGAGAGGACGAUCAGCCACACUGGAACUGAGACACGGUCCAGACUCCUACGGGAGGCAGCAGUGGGGAAUCUUGCGCAAUGGGCGAAAGCCUGACGCAGCAACGCCGCGUGUGUGAUGAAGGUCUUCGGAUCGUAAAGCACUGUCGGGAGGGACGAAUAAGGGCCGGGUGAACAAUCCGGUUCGACGACGGUACCUCCAGAGGAAGCACCGGCUAACUCUGUGCCAGCAGCCGCAGUAAUAC